rnacentral:rRNA from 1 species
AGGACGAACGCUGGCGGCGUGCUUAACACAUGCAAGUCGAACGGAAAGGCCCUUCGGGGUACUCGAGUGGCGAACGGGUGAGUAACACGUGGGUGAUUUGCCCUGCACUUUGGGAUAAGCCUGGGAAACUGGGUCUAAAUACCGAAUAUGACCUCAGGAUGCAUGUCUUGUGGUGGAAAGCUUUUGCGGUGUGGGAUGGGCCCGCGGCCUAUCAGCUUGUUGGUGGGGUGAUGGCCUACCAAGGCGACGACGGGUAGCCGGCCUGAGAGGGUGUCCGGCCACACUGGGACUGAGAUACGGCCCAGACUCCUACGGGAGGCAGCAGUGGGGAAUAUUGCACAAUGGGCGCAAGCCUGAUGCAGCGACGCCGCGUGGGGAUGACGGCCUUCGGGUUGUAACCCCUUCAGCACAGACGAAGCGCAAGUGACGGUAUGUGCAGAAGAAGCACCGGCCAACUACGCGCCAGCAGCCGCGGU